AGUGAACGCUGGCGGCAGGCCUAAUACAUGCAAGUCGAACGGCAGCACAGCAGAGCUUGCUCUGUGGGUGGCGAGUGGCGGACGGGUGAGGAAUACAUGGGAAUCUGCCCAGUCGUGGGGGAUAACGUAGGGAAACUUACGCUAAUACCGCAUGCGCCCUUCGGGGGAAAGCCGGGGACCUUCGGGCCUGGCGCGAUUGGAUGAGCCCAUGUCGGAUUAGCUAGUUGGCGGGGUAAUGGCCCACCAAGGCGACGAUCCGUAGCUGGUCUGAGAGGAUGAUCAGCCACACUGGAACUGAGACACGGUCCAGACUCCUACGGGAGGCAGCAGUAGGGAAUAUUGGACAAUGGGCGCAAGCCUGAUCCAGCCAUGCCGCGUGAGUGAAGAAGGCCCUCGGGUUGUAAAGCUCUUUUGUCCGGAAAGAAAAGCGCCGGGUUAAUACCCUAGUGUCCUGACGGUACCGGAAGAAUAAGCACCGGCUAACUCGUGCC
rnacentral:rRNA from 1 species